AACUCUUUCCUUUAUUGCCACAGACCACAGUCUACUGCAAUGCUAGCUUCAUUCCAGCCUCCCUCUUCAGACAAGCUGAGGACCUGUAUUUGUUCAUCUGUGCACCCUAAGCCCCUCAAAGGACCUGAGGUUUCCAUCCUACUGAGGGCAGGAGACCGUGUGGAGCUGCUACCUGAGGCUGGAGCCAUAGCUAAGGCAGGUCAGGAGGGGACUCAGUGUGAGCCAAAUGUCUCUCCAGGGGUUCCUGGCAUGCCCUGGGAAGAUGUGCAUGGUUCUCAGUGCCUGCAUAGCUGGCAGCACCAAGAAAAUAAUUAUUAUAAACUAUCUUGAAGAAUAUGUACCAAACUACUAUAGUGGCUACUUCUGAAAAAGGGAUUGGAAAGACGGGAUUUUCCAGUUCAGAAAAAUGAAAUCAGCUUCUAGAAGAUAAGUGCUCUAGAAGGUAUGUGAAAAUGACAAAAGCGAGAGAGAAAACUUCAUAUUACAUACAAUCACACUUUUCUUUCUUCUUCUUUUUAAGAUUUUAUUUAUUUAUGUAUUUGAGAGAGUGAGAGAGCGAGCGAGCACAUGACGUGGUGGAAGGACAGAAGGAAAGCAAUAAGCAGACUCCCCCUUGAGCAGUGAACCUGACUCAGGGCUUCAUCUCAGGAUCUUGGGAUCAUGACCUGAGCCAAAGGCAGAUACUUAGCCAACUGAGGCACCCUACAAUCACACUUUUCUAAGACAUCUAUCAUAUAUACUCAUUUUUUAAAAAUAAAAGAAUAUACAACAAAUUAAGAGCA
rnacentral:lncRNA from 1 species